AAGUAAGCUACUAAGGGCGUGUGGUGGAUGCCUAGGUGCCAAGAGGCGAUGAAGGACGUGGGUGGCUGCGAAAAGCUCCGGGGAGUUGCCAACCGAACGUUGAACCGGAGAUGUCCGAAUGGGGAAACCCAGCGCGGCGAAUAGCUGCGUUACCCCGGUCUGAAUACAUAGGGCCGGAGGAGCGAACCAGGGGAAGUGAAACAUCUCAGUACCCUGAGGAAAAGAAAACAAUGAGUGAUUCCCGUAGUAGCGGCGAGCGAAACGGGAACAGCCUAAACCGAGUCCACGCAAGUGGCCUCGGGGUUGCGGGUCCGCGGUAGGACUCUGGAGAGCUAGCGGAAGCACCUGGAAAGGUGCACCAAAGAGCGUGACAGUCGCGUACGCGAAAGCACUCUGGAGCCGAGCGGGGUACCCAAGUACGGCGGGACACGUGCAAUCCUGCCCGAAUCUGCCGGGACCAUCCGGUAAGGCUAAAUACUACUUGGCGACCGAUAGUGAACAAGUACCGCGAGGGAAAGGUGAAAAGAACCCCGGUGAGGGGAGUCAAAAGAACCUGAAACCACAUGUCUACAAGCAGUUCGAGCGCAACGCCGCAAGGCAGGCGCGAGAGCGUACCUUUUGCAUCAUGAUUCGGCGACUUAAUGUACGUAGCGAGGCUAAGCCGAUAGGUGGAGCCGGAGCGAAAGCGAGUCCGAAAUGGGCGACGAGUUGCGUGUAUUAUAACCCGAAGCGGGGUGAUCUACACAUGGCCAGGAUGAAGUGCGGGUAACACCGCAUGGAGGUCCGAACUCAUGAAAGUUGAAAAUUUCUGGGAUGAGCUGUGUGUAGGGGUGAAAGGCCAAUCAAACUCCGUGAUAGCUGGUUCUCCCCGAAAGAUAUUUAGGUAUCGUCUCAGGUAAUUCAGUACCGGAGGUAGAGCACUGGAACGGCUAGGGGUCUCACCAGAUUACCAAACCGUACCAAACUCCGAAUGCCGGUAACUGUUAUCCUGGGAAGCAGUCAGUGGGUGAUAACGUCCAUUGGCAAGAGGGGAAUAACCCAGACCGACAGCUAAGGCCCCCAAAUCUAGUCUAAGUGAACACUAGAAAGGAUGUGGCAGGUCAUUGACAACCAGGAGGUUGGCUUAGAAGCAGCCAUCCUUUAAAGAAAGCGUAAUAGCUCACUGGUCAAGACAGGCCGCGCCGAAAAUGUAACGGGGCUCAAGACUAGUGCCGAAGCUUCGGGUCAUACGCGUUCAGACGUGUAUGGCGGUAGGGGAGCGUCCCAGCUGCAGCGAAGGUAGACCGAAAGGGCUGCUGGAGCGGCUGGGAGUGCUGAUGCCGAAAUGAGUAGCGAUAAAGGGGGUGAGAAACCCCCUCGCCGUAAACCCAAGGUUUCCUGGGUCAAGUUAAUCUUCCCAGGGUUAGCCGGAACCUAAGCUGAGGCCGAAAGGCGUAGGUGAUGGAAAGCAGGUUAAUAUUCCUGCGCCAUCUUGCAGUCGUUGAACUGAGGGAGGACGGAGAAGGCUAGACGAGCCGGGUGGUGGUUGUACCGGUCCAAAGACGUAGGGGUGUCGCGUACGAAUAAAGGCGCGGCAGUUAUCCCCGAGAUCCCAUGGCGCUCCGCAAGGGGUAAGUCGUUGAUGCCACGCUUCCAAGAAAAGUCCCGCAGGGAGACUGUAGGGUGUCCGUACCGCAAACCGACACAGGUGGGUGAGGAGAAAAUCCUAAGGCGCUUGAGAGAACUCUCCUCCAAGGAACUAGGCAAAUUUCCACCGUAACUUCGGAAGAAGGUGGGCCUCUGGUAGGUGUAGGCGUACAGCCGAAGCCGAGAGAGGUUGCAGAGAAAUGGCGGUAGCGACUGUUUACCAAAAACACAGGACUCUGCGAAGGCGACAAGCCGACGUAUAGGGUCUGACUCCUGCCCGGUGCUGGAAGGUUAAGGGGAUUCGUCAGCCGCAAGGCAAAGCGAUGAUCCGAAGCCCCAGUAAACGGCGGCCGUAACUAUAACGGUCCUAAGGUAGCGAAAUUCCUUGUCGGGUAAGUUCCGACCUGCACGAAUGGAGUAACGACUUCCGCGCUGUCUCGGAGAGGGACUCAGCGAAAUUGAAAUAGCUGUGCCGAUGCAGUUUACCCGCAGCAAGACGGAAAGACCCCGUGAACCUUUACUACAACUUGACAGUGACACUAGGGAUUGACUGUGUAGGAUAGGUGGGAGCCUUUGAAGCCGGGCCGCUAGGUUCGGUGGAGGCAACGGUGAAAUACCACCCUGUUGAUUUCUGGUGUCUAACCAUGUCCCGUGACCCGGGAUUGGGACACUGUCUGGUGGGUAGUUUGACUGGGGCGGUCGCCUCCCAAAGAGUAACGGAGGCGCGCGAUGGUUCCCUCAGCCCGAUUGGAAACCGGGCGUCGAGUGCAAUGGCAUAAGGGAGCUUGACUGCGAGACAGACAUGUCGAGCAGGUGCGAAAGCAGGUCAUAGUGAUCCGGUGGUCCUGAAUGGAAGGGCCAUCGCUCAACGGAUAAAAGGUACUCCGGGGAUAACAGGCUUAUCUCCCCCAAGAGUUCACAUCGACGGGGAGGUUUGGCACCUCGAUGUCGGCUCAUCGCAUCCUGGGGCUGGAGCAGGUCCCAAGGGUUUGGCUGUUCGCCAAUUAAAGCGGUACGCGAGCUGGGUUCAAAACGUCGUGAGACAGUUUGGUCCCUAUCUGCUGUGGGCGUAGGAUACUUGAGAGGCUCUGACCUUAGUACGAGAGGACCGGGUUGGAGACACCUCUGGUGUACCAGUUAUCACGCCAGUGGUAUCGCUGGGUAGCCAAGUGUCGAUUGGAUAACCGCUGAAAGCAUCUAAGCGGGAAACCGACCUCAAGACCAGGUAUCCCGGGCGCAAGCCCCUGAAGAGCCGUCGAAGACUACGACGUUGAUAGGCCGGGUGUGUAAGCGCGGUAACGCGUUGAGCUAACCGGUACUAAUUGCUCGUGCGGCUUACUUUAUCCUCAUCUCUU
rnacentral:rRNA from 1 species